rnacentral:lncRNA from 1 species
UAUUUAUUAAAAUAGCUAAUUAUAUUUAUGAAAUAAUGUUUUUUCCAUAGUGUUUACGAACGAAUGACAUUAACAUACUUUUGUAAUAUAAUAAUACAUAUUUGAACUUGUCAAAGAAAAACAAAUAAAAGUAUGAGAAAAAUUAUAAGAGUACCUUCCAAUAUAAUUAUACAGUUACAAGUGAUAUAGAAUUAUUUUUCAACUUAUUUGUUACUUUUACGCACAUUCACAAAAACCAACAACACACCACACAAUUUGAGGAAGUUCACACAUAUCUCCCGGACAUUGAGCAUGUGUUGUGCAUGGAAUAGAAUCUGUAAUGUUGGAUAGAAAUAAAAGAAAUGUUAUUAAAAGGUGAUGAAAUAUUUUAUAAAAGAGAAAUUAGAUAUUUGAAAAUAGUGUUGAAAAUUACUUACUACUUUUGGUUGGGACAAAAAAUACACAAAGAAAGAUAAUAAAAGCAUAAAAUAUAUAUGAAAGUUGAGCCAUA